CGAAGGGGCUAGCGUUGUUCGGAAUUACUGGGGCGUAAAGCGCACGUAGGCGGACAUUUAAGUCAGGGGUGAAAUCCCGGGGCUCAACCCCGGAACUGCCUUUGAUACUGGGUGUCUAGAGUAUGGAAGAGGUGAGUGGAAUUCCGAGUGUAGAGGUGAAAUUCGUAGAUAUUCGGAGGAACACCAGUGGCGAAGGCGGCUCACUGGUCCAUUACUGACGCUGAGGUGCGAAAGCGUGGGGAGCAAACAGGAUU
rnacentral:rRNA from 1 species